rnacentral:rRNA from 1 species
ACGGCGGCAUAAUACAUGCAAGUCGAACGGUGGUAGCAAUACCAUAGUGGCGCACGGGUGCGUAACACGUAACUAACCUACCUAUAACUGGGGGAUAGCCCGCCGAAAGGCGGAUUAAUACCGCAUAAGCUUGUGAAGUGGCAUCACUUUAUUAGUAAAGAUUUAUUGGUUAUAGAUGGGGUUGCGGGUCAUUAGCUAGUUGGUAAGGUAACGGCUUACCAAGGCGACGAUGACUAGGGGAGCUGAGAGGCUGGUCCCCCACACGGGCACUGAGAUACGGGCCCGACUCCUACGGGAGGCAGCAGUAGGGAAUAUUGGGCAAUGGGCGAGAGCCUGACCCAGCCAUGCCGCGUGCAGGAAGAAGGCUUUCUGAGUCGUAAACUGCUUUUGACAGGGAAGAAUAAGGACUACGUGUAGUCUGAUGACGGUACCUGCAGAAUAAGCACCGGCUAACUCCGUGCCAGCAGCCGCGGUAAUACGGAGGGUGCGAGCGUUGUCCGGAUUUAUUGGGUUUAAAGGGUGCGUAGGCGGCUUUUUAAGUCUGGGGUGAAAGCCCGCUGCUCAACAGCGGAACUGCCCUGGAUACUGGAGAGCUUGAGUACAGACGAGGUUGGCGGAAUGGACAGAGUAGCGGUGAAAUGCAUAGAUACUGUCCAGAACCCCGAUUGCGAAGGCAGCUGACUAGGCUGUUACUGACGCUGAGGCACGAAAGCGUGGGGAGCGAACAGGAUUAGAUACCCUGGUAGUCCACGCCGUAAACGAUGGAUACUCGCUGCGAGCUAAAGAUUGUUCGUGGCUUAGGGAAACCGAUAAGUAUCCCACCUGGGG